AUGUCUCUCUUCUCUCCGUUUCUCCUCAAGAUGACCCAAAACGUUUCUAAUUAUGAGCUGGUUCCUGCCGGUGUUCUGGCUGCCAGGGAGUCAGCUGGGUUCACUGAUCCCUCAACGUGUACAGCUGUUAUCUUUGACUUGUAUCCAAAACCCAGAUUGGAAGCGAGCUCAGAACCAGACAAGUGUGAAUCCCUAUGUUUAACUGCUAGGGCGCUGUUCCUCUGGUCAGCCGUUCUGCCGAGGACCCCGGCGGUGUGUCGAGCAUUUACCUGUGGCUUAACAGAACAUGAAACCAGGGGAAGAUCUUGAUGCAGUUUUGGUGAGCAUAAGAGACUUCUUUCAAAAACAUAAAAACAAAGAAAAAAAUACUUUCAGUUUUUAGUUUCAUAAUGAUUAAUUUAGUCAUGUUCGCAGAAACAACAUGUGGAAGUGUUGUUUUGGUGGGAGACGUGCCACAGGACACAGGUAGCACAUCUAAGCUGUGCCCUGGUGCUUGUACAGAGAAUGAAUCACAGGCUAAUUGCACAUGAAUAGUCUAUGACUAACGAGAGAGGAGCAAUUAGCCGCCUAUUAAGGCCUGAGCAGCAAACCAAUCUUUGAUUCACUGUCAAUGCAACUGCUUUGCAUUAUUUGGGAUAUAAUUAGCAUACACGUUUCUUUCUCUUGUUUUUUCUACCUCACCUUAGCAUUGUGAUCCAGGGGUAAUUAGAAGCUCACUGUACCAUUAAUUCGUCACCAGCUAUCCUCUACUGGAGCGUGAACGUGCAUGCGUGUGUCAGAUGUAUACAACCUGUUAAACAUAAAAACGAAAUGAGAAUUCCAGGCUGUAAUAUAUCAUCUACUUAACCUGAGAAAUGUGAAUACUAUAGCCUCGAACAAAGAGAUUAUGUGCUGUAGUAAAUGCGAUAUGUUUUGCAUGUUAUAAUGCUGAACAAAAGCCUUGUAAUAACCUUGUUGCGGCAGGUAAUAUUUCAAAUGCAUCAAAUAUGCUGUAGUGCUGAUAGUGCAUUUAACAGCGACAGCUGAAAAUAUUCUCCCAUUACAAAGUACCGUUGACAUCCUGGUACUGCCGUAGAUAUGUAUGGUUAUACAUAUUAAUGAGGCAGAUUUGUUUAUUCAUCUCUUGUUUUACCUAGCAGCUAAGAGAGAGAGAGAGAGAGAGGAUUUUGAAAUGACACUCAGGGUUUGUAAAUUAGAUCAGACAUCUCUUCGACUUGUUUUUCUAAAACUAGCCCUGUGGCCUGCUCCUUCCUCUCCAUCUUAACUCCUCCUCAUUAAGCUCCAUCCAUAGCAACUGUUUCUCUGCGCACGUAAAGAAAAACGCUCAUCCACACGUCUGCAAUGUGUGUUUUGAUUUUAUGCCGCCAAUCUCUCUGUGCGGUUUUCACUAAUCCAGAGCUCUUGGCAAAUUAUUUCUGUUAAAUAUUAAAAGUAUCUUUAAACUUUGGGGGCAAGUGGAGUAGGUGGUGCUGUGAUUUGAUUUGCAGUGUCAAAGUGACUGUUAGUCAGGUUUUGUGGUUGACACCCCAGUGAAUAACAGCAACAGAAGACUUUUUGUUCCAUUCUCUGAUCUGUUGGUAUGUUUCUUUACGCCCACUUGCUGGAAAAAAUACAGCGCGUCUUUCUUCUCCACACUCAACUAAUGAGAACUUCCUCCUCACUGUUUUUUUAUAUGUCAGUUUGCUGAGUUUUUAGCCAUUUAAUAAAAAAAAAAAAAAAAAUACAGUGCAGGUACACAAGUACCAAGAAAAGUCUUCAGGUCUGUGCAAAGCUAAUAGCAGUGACAUGUUUUUUUUUUUUUUAAUUUUUUUUGAACAGGGUGUAAACAUCCCAAUGCACCGUGAUAGAAUGCUGCAUGGAAAUGAAUCUUUGAGACUUAAUCAUUCCUGAUUAAAAACAUACACAGCCUAUAUUUAGACGAAAAUAAAAAUUCUGUCAAAUUUAACCUGUCUUGUUACAUGGAACACAAAAUCAUAAAUUUUAAAGAAUGUGCAGUUCUUUUCCAUACAAUAACAGCCCAUAGUGACCAGACUCGGUGGCAAAAAUAACAAGCAGCACAAGAAAAGCACCAUAAAAGUAGGAAAUAUAACCCUUGCACCUCUUCUGGAGUUGUACAAUUACUUUGUGUGAGGGACAGAUCAAAAUGUAAUCAAAAGCAAUACAUUGUUUUCAUUAUAAAAUUAAAUAAAACACAAUAUGGCAAGAUGAGCAAACCUCAGGAGGUGCGUGAGGAGGAACUUGGUUGAAGUGGAGCCAUCUGGGGUUAAGACAUGAUGUCAGUCAGAACAAACAGGCCUGGUUGAACACGAUAAGAUUUACACCGCACACUUUUCAACCCCUCCUACAAUUACAGAGAGAAAGAGAGCAGUAGAGGAGAGUGAGGUAAUACAACAUUUUUUACAACCUCUCUCGUUCUCAGUCUGAAGAUUUAAGGCAAGGUCAAAGAGUCGACACCAUUUCUGCUUUACAUUACAUCACACAGAGGACACGAGGAGAGAGAGAGAGCUGAAGGAAAUGAGGGAGAAGAGAGUGAGAAAGUGCGACUGAAAGUGAGAUACAUACCUAUAUUUGACAUCAUGUUCUCAAACAUGUCCAGGCUUGCUUAUCAUGGUGCAAAAUCAUCAACAGAAAUAUCCUGAUUGGCUGAAGCCAGAUGUGCGAUAUGACCAGUGUGAUCGUGGGGAAAACCAGCUCCUUUAUGUCAGUCUGUACCAUAUACAUGGCUGGGGAUGAUUUUACAUAAUCAAAUGUGUCAUUCUGACAUCCUCAUUGACAGUCGUGCUUAAAAUGG
ensembl:lncRNA